CUCAUCCCAAAAACCCAUUACCCUAUCCUCUCACUAUCAACUUUUGAGUUUCUGUCAGUAUUGUUUAAUGGUUCACAACAACAAACAAAAACUCACAAUUUCAAAAUUCAAACCAACCUUUCUCUGCUUAGUUCUCUCUAAAAAGUUUUGGACGAUUCCUCUCAUUCGAUUUCUCAAUUUCAUGACCCUAUCUAGCGAUGGUGUGGUGUUUAUUGUUAAAAUCCGCCGACUAAGUGUUUCAGUAGCGGGAUUCUCGAGCAGAUUGGUAGGCAACUAAGACGAGAUCUCGAUGGUAGAUGGUGAUUUAGGCAGGUUCCGACAACGCGGUUCUGAUUUAUCAGUUGCAUGUAUGUUUCCUGACAAGCGGGGGACUUUAAUGAUGGCGGUGGUAGAUGGUGGUUGUAUACUUUUAAGAGGGUUUUCUGUUGAAGUGGAGGGGGAGAUCUCUGAACUUGAAGGUUAAAGGUUGCUUCCCACCUUACGAAGCAAGAAAAAUUGAAAGAGAAAGGCUAGAAAGAAUCGGCAUGGAGGAUAUUCUGAUUAAAGGAGUUACAUGCUGCUACGACAACCUUGGUGAAGGUGGAUUUGGCAGUGUUUAUGGGGUUCAGCUAUGGGAUGAAUCUCAGAUGGAGGAUGUUCUGAUUGAAGGAGUUACAUGCUGCUACAACAAGCUUAUAUUUCAUUGAUUUGCAUGCCACACAAAGGGAUUCGACUGGGCUCACGAGCCAAAACAAUGAGUUAAAGUUUCGUUGCAAGUGACCGAAUAGAAGGGCCCCAGCUUUGAGAGCUUUGAGAUGGUAUCGCUAAUUUUCCCUUAUGUUAUUUAUCUUCUAUAUGGUCCAUAAUGAUGCUUCUAGGCUAUUUAAUGAGUGGUGGUUUGACUAUGUUAAAAAGCCAGUUGAAACGUCAGUUGAAACGGCUUUAUCUUCAUUGUUCUUUAUGAGCAUGGUGCCAUCAAGGUUACUUCCUCUCUUUCACUAUGUUUAUUAUUUUCUCAGCAGUUCGUUUCAAGCCAUGUUCAUAAAACGAGUACAAACUUGUAUUUCAGUUUCUUUGUUGUAGAUACUUUGUGAUGGUCAAUUACCUUCUAUCCAUAUUUUUGCGAA